rnacentral:rRNA from 1 species
AUUGAACGCUGGCGGCAGGCCUAACACAUGCAAGUCGAGCGGGGUUUUCGGACCUAGCGGCGGACGGGUGAGUAAUGCGUAGGAAGCUACCCGACAGAGGGGGAUACCAGUUGGAAACGACUGUUAAUACCGCAUAAUGUCUACGGACCAAAGUGUGGGACCUUAGGGCCACAUGCUGUCGGAUGCGCCUACGUGGGAUUAGCUAGUUGGUGAGGUAAUGGCUCACCAAGGCGACGAUCCCUAGCUGGUUUGAGAGGAUGAUCAGCCACACUGGAACUGAGACACGGUCCAGACUCCUACGGGAGGCAGCAGUGGGGAAUAUUGGACAAUGGGCGCAAGCCUGAUCCAGCCAUGCCGCGUGUGUGAAGAAGGCCUUCGGGUUGUAAAGCACUUUCAGCGAGGAGGAAGGGUUGGUCGUUAAUAGCGGCUAACUUUGACGUUACUCGCAGAAGAAGCACCGGCUAACUCUGUGCCAGCCGCCGCGGUAA